UCUGACUACCCUGGUGACUUUCAGAUAAU
rnacentral:piRNA from 1 species